CUCAUGAUGAGACUAAGUCGAAUGCGACUCCAGCCCUUGUCCUUGACCCACCACCACCACCACUGGGGGCGGGUUUUCUGGUGGCAUCUGAAACCUCAGCGGGAUCCCUGAGGUCUGGCUCCUUGCUGUAAGGCAGAUCAAUAGCACAGCAGCCUCACCCCCCUCCAUCUCUGCUGCUGUUUCUAAUCCCUAACAGAUACAUAUAUCUGGGUACCAAGUAGAAACUUAUGGGGACUAGCAUUGAACCUCAAACAUCCUCAAUUUCUCA